UUAGGAGAGUUUGAUCUUCAAUGGUUGAUGCCCUUGAAUCUCGCCGUCUUCAAAUCCUUCGUAUUCGCUAUCUUCUCCAAUGCAAUGUUUUCUUUCGUCUGUCAAAAAGUGCCUUCUUCUUUCUCUUCCAAGCCUUCUUAUAGCUUCAGAUGCAUCUCUUCCAAGCAAAAGGUCCAAACUACCCUUAAUGAGCAGAAUCGGUUCACAAAGCAAAAAUUAGGUUUUCCAAGCUGCGUCCAAUCAACACGGUCGUGUGUCACCACACGGGUGGCCGUGUUGUUCUCCAUAAUUAAUUAUUUUCAGCACAAGCUACAGAGGCAACAACACGGGCCGUGUU
rnacentral:lncRNA from 1 species